CACGUAGUUAGCCGGCGCUUCUUAUCCAGGUACCCUCAACACCACCAAAAAGGCAAUGCCUUGUUCCCUGACGAAAGAGGUUUACAACCCGAAGGCCUUCAUCCCUCACGCGGCGUCGCUGCAUCAGGCUUGCGCCCAUUGUGCAAUAUUCCCCACUGCUGCCUCCCGUAGGAGUCUGGGCCGUAUCUCAGUCCCAGUGUGACCGUCCACCCUCUCAGGCCGGCUACCCGUCAAAGCCUUGGUAGGCCAUCACCCCACCAACAAGCUGAUAGGCCGCGAGCCCAUCCCUUACCAGAAAAAACAACCUUUCCAAACCAACCCAUGCAGGAAGGCCAGAAUAUCCCGUAUUAGCUACCCUUUCGAGCAGUUAUCCAGGAAAGUAAGGGGCAGGUUACUCACGUGUUACUCACCCGUUCGCCACUAAUCAACCAAGCAAGCUUGGUAUUUUCGUUCGACUUUGCAUGUGUUAAGCACGCCGCCAGCGUUCGUCCUGAGCCAGGAUCGAAACUCU
rnacentral:rRNA from 1 species